rnacentral:lncRNA from 1 species
GAAGAUUGAAGAAACUUGAUUUGAUUUUGUUGUUUUGAUCAACAAAUGUGUAUUUGAAGAUGUUUGUUCACCAUCUGUAAAAUAAAUUAUUCACUGGAACUGUGUUUUAAGAAUGUUGGAAGUCGAUGAUGAUUGCUUCACCAUUGUUCUUUCAUUACCUGAUUAACGAAGAUAACUUCCACCCUGCAAUUAUCACACCUGUAACUGAAUAUCAUUAGAUGGACUAUCCAUGUGUGUUUAUUCUUAUAACAAUUUAAAAAUGUUAAGAUAAUCCUUACACAGAUGGAGUGCAAUCAAACAGCAAACAUGCAAAAGGUGUGGAAAUAAUGAAAGAAAUUCAAAUGGAUCUAAAGGUGAACUGAGUCGUGCUUAAAUUGCUAAAAGAUGAGGGUUCC